UACGGAGGGUGCGAGCGUUGUCCGGAUUUAUUGGGUUUAAAGGGUGCGUAGGCGGCCUCUUAAGUCAGUGGUGAAAGCCCGCGGCUCAACCGCGGAACUGCCAUUGAUACUGGGAGGCUUGAGUACAGACGAGGUAGGCGGAAUUGAAGAUGUAGCGGUGAAAUGCUUAGAUAUCUUCAAGAACACCGAUUGCGUAGGCAGCUUACUAGGCUGUAACUGACGCUCAUGCACGAAAGCGUGGGGAGCAAACAGG
rnacentral:rRNA from 1 species